UAUUAUUUAAAAUAUUUAUUUAAUAUACUUUAGUAGUAUUAGUUAUGGGCUUGAAACUAAAAAAAUUUGGCGGUAUUUUAGUCUAUUCAGAGGAACCUGUUAUGUAAUCGAUAAUCCACGAUGGACCUAACUUAAUUUUGUUUUUCAGUUUGUAUAUCGCUGUUAUAGAAUAUUUUAUAAGAAAAAUAAUUUUCAAUAAAUUUUAUAAAAUUAUAUAUCAAGUCAAGGUGCAGUUAAUAAUUAAGUAUAAAAUGGGUUACAAUAAAUUUAUUUAAAUGAAUUAAUAAUUGAAAUAUUAUUAUGAAAGUGGAUUUGAUAGUAAAUUUUUAAAGAUAAAAGAAUUGAUUAUAGCUCUAAAAUAUGUACACAUCGC
rnacentral:rRNA from 1 species